GGGAGUACGAGAUCCGGCCGCCGGCGCUAUGCGCGGGAGGAAAGUCCGGGCUCCGCAGGGCAGGAUGCAGGAGAAGAUCCUGCGAGUGCGAACUCAGGGAAAGUGCCACAGAGACAUACCGCCGGUGCUAACCGGUAAGGGUGAAAAGGCGGGGUAAGAGCCCACCGGCCGAAAGGGCGACCUUCGGGCCAGGCAAACCCCAUCCGGAGCAAGGUCGAAUAGGGGAGGACGAGGCUGCCCGCCGACUCCCGGGUGCGACCGCUUAAGUCCGUCUGCAAGGGCGGAAUUAGAUAAAUGGCCGGAGAGGAUCAGAUCCUUUACAGAACCCGGCUUAUUGAGUGCUCCCCAUU
rnacentral:RNase_P_RNA from 1 species